GGAGGCAUGGCUCAGUGGUAGAGCACCAGCCUAGUAAGUUGGAGAGUUCAAACUUUAAUAUAUCCC
rnacentral:tRNA from 1 species